GGCAACUGUUCAUUUUAUUUCUAAUGCAAAACACUGCUUCUCCAGAAAUCCAAUGGAAGUAUCCUUCACACCUGCCUAGGAUAUGGCAAGGAUUUGCCACAUCUCUCCCUUCUCUUCCCUCUACUUAAAACUGCUCAC
rnacentral:lncRNA from 11 species